rnacentral:rRNA from 1 species
UACGUAGGGAGCAAGCGUUGUCCGGAAUCAUUGGGCGUAAAGCGCGCGUAGGUGGCCACAUAAGUCCGUUGUGAAAGUCAAAGGCUCAACCUUUGAAAGCCGAUGGAUACUGUGUGGCUAGAGUACGGAAGAGGCGAGUGGAAUUCCUGGUGUAGCGGUGGAAUGCGCAGAUAUCAGGAGGAACACCCGUAGCGAAGGCGGCACUCUGGGCCGAUACUGACACUGAGGAGCGAAAGCGUGGGGAGCGAACAGG